GCGAGUGUAGUUCAGUGGUAGAACUCCUCCUUGCCAAGGAGGAUGUCGCGCGUUCGAGUCGCGUCACUCGCU
rnacentral:tRNA from 1 species